rnacentral:lncRNA from 1 species
GGGAAAAGCCCUAGAGUGCAGAUUUUUUACAGAGUCCCAAGAUGUCCUUGAAGAGCAGGUUUGAGAGUCUGCAUCUGUGUUUCCGGCGCCCUUCCAACUGGAAUGGCUUCUUCCUAGCAACCCACUGGUCCACGGGCAGUCCAGGAGCCAGCCUUCUGAUCUGGAGGGAGGAGGAUUUGUGGGCGGCCCUAGCCCCUCUGCCCGCUCUCACAGACCCUCUCCAGAAGAAAGACCAGACCGUUGCUCAGUCAACAGUUUGCAAGGAUUCCAAUCAAAGCUUCUACGUCCCUUUGAAGUUCCUUCACAUAAGCCAGACAGGAUUCCCAGAGUCUUCAGGACAGAGCUCUCAGUGGCGGCCCUCAGCCUUUCCAGUCUGGUCUCCAUGAAUAGCUGGACUAGAAACGUGUCUGCAAUCUCACUGAGCAUCAGCGUAUUUUCGAGGAAUAACUCCCAGGCUCGAGCCAAGCCUGUGCUUGUGACAAUACUGGAGACCCCAGGAGGAAGCUGGCACACGUGCAAGAGAAGCUCAGACAGGAAUGAGCGCCUGGACCCUGACAAGCAAGGCCUUCAGGACUCUGACCAGGGUUUACAUGGGAAACCUUGUGACUGACAGAAGGCUAUGCCUCCUGCUCUUCCUCAAGCCCACGCUUCUCCAGGGCUCUGUGACACAAUUGCUUCACCACACAGUGUCCCAGGCCUUGAGGAAUGAUGCAACAGGAUGGCCUUCACCAAGUGCCAAAGCCUCAGCCUCUUUAACCUCUGGAAGAGUGAAGACAAAAGUUCUUUAUAAGCUAGCCAGUCUCGGGUGUUCUAUUACAGCAACAGAGGUACAAAGUCAUGUGGCUUCCCAUGACUUCAGUCUUGGCUGGAGCCCUCAACCUCUCUCUUCUGAACUUACUGCAGGAUAGAGACAUCUCGAGGCACCACCGACACCGACUGGCCAAUGCAAACCCAACUCCUAUAGAUGCCACACCUGGCCUGACCUCCCAACACUUCCCUCUGCCUCACCUUGCCUGAAAUCUUAUGCCCCAUCAGCUGUCUCUUGUCUUCUGUCACCUGUCUGCCCAUGAUUCCAUUUCCUGCUUCCUGAAUGUUGAUGUCUCCAGUCAUCUGUGAUCACAUCUUUUCUCUUCCAGGGUGAGUUGUCCUUCCCCUGGUCUCUACCAUCUUCAGUGGCUACCUCUGAAUUGCUCUUUUGUUUGCUGGCUGUUUUUUGUUGUUUUAUUUUGCAUGGGCCUUGAAUUUAUCAUUGUCCUGCCUCAGCCACCCACGUUCUGGGAUGAAAGACAUGUGCCAUACACCAGUCAAAUUAUUCUUUGAUUUUUUAAAAAUGAUAUUUAUUUAUUUCACUCAAGGGGGUAUGUGUGUACUAUAGCAUGUGCGUUGAAGAUAGAGGACAACUUGUGG